rnacentral:rRNA from 1 species
AACUUCUGAAUGUUGACCUCGGAUCAGGUAGGAAUACCCGCUGAACUUAAGCAUAUCAAUAAGCGGAGGAAAAGAAACCAACAGGGAUUGCCCUAGUAACGGCGAGUGAAGCGGCAACAGCUCAAAUUUGAAAUCUGGCUUUCGGGCCCGAGUUGUAAUUUGUAGAGGAUACUUUUGAUGCGGUGCCUUCCGAGUUCCCUGGAACGGGACGCCAUAGAGGGUGAGAGCCCCGUCUGGUUGGAUGCCAAAUCUCUGUAAAGUUCCUUCGACGAGUCGAGUAGUUUGGGAAUGCUGCUCUAAAUGGGAGGUAUAUGUCUUCUAAAGCUAAAUAUUGGCCAGAGACCGAUAGCGCACAAGUAGAGUGAUCGAAAGAUGAAAAGCACUUUGAAAAGAGAGUUAAAAAGUACGUGAAAUUGUUGAAAGGGAAGCGUUUAUGACCA